CCUACGGGAGGCAGCAGUGAGGAAUCUUGGUCAAUGGGCGCUAGCCUGAACCAGCCAAGUAGCGUGAAGGAUGACUGCCCUAUGGGUUGUAAACUUCUUUUAUAUGGGAGUAAAGUGCAGUAUGUAUACUGCUUUGCAUGUACCUUAUGCAUAAGAGUCGGCUACCUCCGUGCCAGCAGCAGCGGUAAUACGGAGGAUUCGAUCGUUAUCCGGAUUUAUUGGGUUUGAAGGGAGCGUGGGCGGGUUUUUAAGUCAGUUGUGAAAGUUUGGGGUUUAACCGUAAAAUUGCAGUGGAUACUGGCAUCCUUGAGUACAGUAGAGGUAGGCGGAAUUCGAGGUGUAGCGGUGAAAUGCUUAGAUAUCACGAAGAACACCGAUUGCGAAGGCAGCCUGCUGGACUGUAACUGACGCUGAUGCUCGAAAGCGUGGGGAGCAAACAGGAUUAGAUACCCUUGUAGUC
rnacentral:rRNA from 1 species